UACGUAGGGUGCAAGCGUUGUCCGGAAUUAUUGGGCGUAAAGAGCUCGUAGGCGGCUUGUCGCGUCGACUGUGAAAUCCCGCGGCUCAACCGCGGGUCUGCAGUCGAUACGGGCAGGCUAGAGUUCGGUAGGGGAGACUGGAAUUCCUGGUGUAGCGGUGAAAUGCGCAGAUAUCAGGAGGAACACCGAUGGCGAAGGCAGGUCUCUGGGCCGAUACUGACGCUGAGGAGCGAAAGCGUGGGAGCGAACAGG
rnacentral:rRNA from 1 species